rnacentral:lncRNA from 1 species
UCACAUGCAUGCACUCGAUGACGAGAACGUCUCCCUCCCACAGUGCGAGAAUAUUACUGGAACCAUGUAUUGUUUCGUACAAAAAAACGAUUUUUUCUCAGCUGCGUUGAAGGCGUUUCACAUUGAGCUUCUUUCCUUUCUUGUUCAUUGUCAUGAUUCUUCUUUUCUGGCACCAUGAAGUAUGAUCUUUCUUAGGUAAUGUAGUGUUGAUUCUUCUUUUCACGUAUGCUUCAUCGUCAUCGUCAUCUUCCCUCAUCGAUUUACCAUAUUGGUCGUAGUAUUCCUCGUUGGCGACUCCAUCUAUUCCGACGAUGUUCCUUUUGUCUCUCCGCACGACAACACGGCUCGUAUUGGUUGGGUCGAUUAUGAAGAAGCAUUGUGUGACGUGCUUAGAGUGUAUCCAUGCCUCAGUUUUGGCGAUGAUGUUAAUGUUCACGGUAGCGCUCUUUGCGUCGGGUAUAGAC